rnacentral:lncRNA from 1 species
AGAUCUCCAACAUACUAAAUACCAGAUCACCUAGCAUACCAAAUACCAGAUCUCCCAACAUACCAAAUAUCAGAUCAACCAACAAACCAAAUACCAGAUCACCAACAAACCAAAUACCAGAUCUCCCAACAUACCGAAUACCAGAUCACCAACAUACCAAAUACCAGAUCUCCAACAUACCAAAUACCAGAUCUCCAACAUACCAAAUACCAGAUCUCCAACAUACCAAAUACCAGAUCAACAACAUACUAGAUCUCCUAAGAUC